AAGCCUAAUCGCCUCCAGUUCCAUCGAUUUUGUCCCAAAGGACACAGUGUCAUCUAUUUUGAUUGCAGAGUAGUAUUCCACGGAAUACCUUCUUUAUCCAGUUAUUGUUUAUUUUUUAGACUUAUUGCUGUUGUUGCCUAUUUGGUCUGAACUGGUGCUUUUUUUUUUUUUUUCGGCUAGAAAACAAAAGAGGAAGAGACAAAAGGAAAGACACCACACCACUGAAGCCUUCUCUAAUGCAAUAGUGGAUGGGCAUGCUUGAACCUGGGUCUCACAUGGUAGAGCUGCUACACUAUCAAGGUGUCUUGUGUCUUCUGCCAACACCUAUGAAGCUGGCAAGAAAUUUGUUAAGUUGCAGGUGCUGAUAAGUGACAAACACCUUGGAAACAAUAUAAGCAGGAUAAAGAUAACAAAGCAACAGUGCCAAGGUUACUCUUUCAGCUAUAGAAACAGGGCAAUCUCCCUGAUAAGAGGUUUUAUUUUUUUGGUUGCUCUCUUUUGUUUUGUUUUGGUAGAGAGAGAGAGAGAGACCACUAAAGCUCCCUUCAGUGUGGUGGGGGCCAGGCUCGAAUCUGGAUUGCAUGCAUGGUAAAAGAGCACACUAUCCAAGUGAGUUAUUUUGCUGAGCUUAUACCUUUUGUGAAUUAAAUCUUCCUUGGAACCUCAAUAUUUAGAAUAACGAAGAGGCAGGCCUGGGAGGUUACGCAGUGGAUAGGAAAACCUGACUUGCAAACAAGAAGUCUUGAGUUUGAUUCCUGGCAUCAGUU